UACGUAGGGCGCAAGCGUUGUCCGGAAUUAUUGGGCGUAAAGAGCUCGUAGGCGGCCUGUUACGUCUGCUGUGAAAUCCCGGGGCUUAACCCCGGGCGUGCAGUGGGUACGGGCAGACUAGAGUGUGGUAGGGGAGACUGGAAUUCCUGGUGUAGCGGUGAAAUGCGCAGAUAUCAGGAGGAACACCGAUGGCGAAGGCAGGUCUCUGGGCCACUACUGACGCUGAGAAGCGAAAGCAUGGGGAGCGAACAGG
rnacentral:rRNA from 1 species